rnacentral:lncRNA from 1 species
GAACAGAAGUUGGGUUACAUACUUAGUUAGAUUACCACUUCUUUACUUAUCAAAGCCAGGUACUUAGGACGAUUCACGGCUCAGCUGAAGGUUGAAUAAUAUGUUUACUAGCCGCCUAUGUAUUCUUAUGUAUAAUCUUGAAAAUUAUGUGACAGAUAAAACGGAAAAAAAAAAGUUGAAAAAAGUCUACCAGUUGCAAGUAGGCUAAUAUAUUGCUAGCGCUAAUUAUUUUAUAACUUGAAUUACAUUAUAGAGAUAAACACCUUAAUCUUCAUGAUUGCUCUUCUGACCCUAGGAUGCAAACGCACGCGUUUAAAAGGAUCAGCCCAAUACGCCACUAUUUGUAACGAAGAAAAGCGAGCCUUAGUCUGGUCUCAUUGAACGCAUCUUCCAGGAUAACUCACUCAUAACAGAAAAAAUGACCGAUUAUCGAUUACGAUAUAAAAAUUUGGAAACAAACACAAAAUAAAUCUUUUUCACAACUUGCAUUAGUAAAAGUAAUGAGGUGUAUGUCGUAGCUUUCGGUUUAAAAUAAUGUCACUGCUAUUUUUUUUAAUGAGAAAUAUUAUAUAAGUAACUUAUUACCAAUGAGUAGCGCUUGGAAUAACUUAAGAAAAAAUUAUGAUAGAAUUACGUCAUGUUCAGAUACAUAUUGCCACCUUCUCUCGAGUUUUGCAUAAAAAAAGUAAUAUUCUCAGUGAUCAGACUCACUAAGCGAGAAUGGAAUUUUAAACGUAAAACGUGCAGAGGAUUACUUGAAUAAUCAUUGCAUCCCAAUUGAUAUUUUGACUUAUACGCGUGCAUAAUACCUUUUUAUUUAAUUUUGUAUUUAUGAAAAGUGAAAGUGGUGUUAGGGAAGUUUUCCAUUAGUCCAAAAUAAAUAACAGGUCAUCGCUGGUAACAGCGACAAUACACCUUACCAUAUCAUCGUUAGCUUGUACGUGAGGGUUUAGCAAUCUUCUGUGGAUUCAUUACCAAAGAAGAAGAAUGGCAACAUGUGUUGCAUUAUCUUCUGUUCUGUUUCGUGCUUAAAGUUCCGACACACAUUUCACCAAAUGCUAGGUGACUUACUUACAUAAAGCGAGGGUCAGUUCACCCACAAAGUUCAUUUAAUUCUCAAAGCUGAAGACAGUACGAGUUAGAAAUUACUUAUUUCUUAAUUCUGUCGAAUGAAAGACGUCGUCAAACAAUGUAAAUUACCCUACUGACCUUUGAAAGUAGGGGAAUAUUCGGUAAAAAAAAAAAAUUAUCCGAUAUCUUUAAACAUUUCAAGAGAAAUUUACUACCAAUUAGGGAGUCCUCAAAACCCAAAAAGUCGGUUUUUCUCUUUUGGCAUCGUAAGUUUUUGCAGUUGCUAGGUAAAAAAAAAAAAAAUUUUUGGCUUAGUCAUUUUAAGUCGAAAGAAUACUUAACUAAAAGCAAACAGCCUGAAAAAUCCUUUUCUGAAUCUUGAAAACUAUCAGUCAUGGAUAGAAAAUUGAUCCAAAAUUUUAAUUGUUAUGGUUACUCAUCAGAGACCAAAUGACAUCUAAAGGAAACACUCUAAGCGGGACUGAAACUUAAGUUGACAGAGUAUUAACACUUUCACAAAUAUUUGGUUCGUGCAAACAGAAUUGAAAAUAUGUCUUAUAGUCGUCUCACAUAAAAGGAAGGAACUUUGAUGAAUUAAUAUAUUGAAGAGCAAUCUAUAUCGUUUUCGGAUUAAUAUUAAACGACAGUUAAAAUA